rnacentral:rRNA from 1 species
UUUAUGGAGAGUUUGAUCCUGGCUCAGGAUGAACGCUGGCGGCGUGCCUAAUACAUGCAAGUCGAGCGAACGGACGAGAAGCUUGCUUCUCUGAUGUUAGCGGCGGACGGGUGAGUAACACGUGGAUAACCUACCUAUAAGACUGGGAUAACUUCGGGAAACCGGAGCUAAUACCGGAUAAUAUUUUGAACCGCAUGGUUCAAAAGUGAAAGACGGUCUUGCUGUCACUUAUAGAUGGAUCCGCGCUGCAUUAGCUAGUUGGUAAGGUAACGGCUUACCAAGGCAACGAUGCAUAGCCGACCUGAGAGGGUGAUCGGCCACACUGGAACUGAGACACGGUCCAGACUCCUACGGGAGGCAGCAGUAGGGAAUCUUCCGCAAUGGGCGAAAGCCUGACGGAGCAACGCCGCGUGAGUGAUGAAGGUCUUCGGAUCGUAAAACUCUGUUAUUAGGGAAGAACAUAUGUGUAAGUAACUGUGCACAUCUUGACGGUACCUAAUCAGAAAGCCACGGCUAACUACGUGCCAGCAGCCGCGGUAAUACGUAGGUGGCAAGCGUUAUCCGGAAUUAUUGGGCGUAAAGCGCGCGUAGGCGGUUUUUUAAGUCUGAUGUGAAAGCCCACGGCUCAACCGUGGAGGGUCAUUGGAAACUGGAAAACUUGAGUGCAGAAGAGGAAAGUGGAAUUCCAUGUGUAGCGGUGAAAUGCGCAGAGAUAUGGAGGAACACCAGUGGCGAAGGCGACUUUCUGGUCUGUAACUGACGCUGAUGUGCGAAAGCGUGGGGAUCAAACAGGAUUAGAUACCCUGGUAGUCCACGCCGUAAACGAUGAGUGCUAAGUGUUAGGGGGUUUCCGCCCCUUAGUGCUGCAGCUAACGCAUUAAGCACUCCGCCUGGGGAGUACGACCGCAAGGUUGAAACUCAAAGGAAUUGACGGGGACCCGCACAAGCGGUGGAGCAUGUGGUUUAAUUCGAAGCAACGCGAAGAACCUUACCAAAUCUUGACAUCCUUUGACAACUCUAGAGAUAGAGCCUUCCCCUUCGGGGGACAAAGUGACAGGUGGUGCAUGGUUGUCGUCAGCUCGUGUCGUGAGAUGUUGGGUUAAGUCCCGCAACGAGCGCAACCCUUAAGCUUAGUUGCCAUCAUUAAGUUGGGCACUCUAAGUUGACUGCCGGUGACAAACCGGAGGAAGGUGGGGAUGACGUCAAAUCAUCAUGCCCCUUAUGAUUUGGGCUACACACGUGCUACAAUGGACAAUACAAAGGGCAGCGAAACCGCGAGGUCAAGCAA